UAUCCAUCAAUUUAUUGUGACACUCAUUGCUGCAUCCUGAACACUAGAAGCAAAGAUGGUACGUGUUUUAUGCAUUCGAUUGAAUACAAUACCUUCUUUCUUAGGUUGCUUUGAUCGUAGAGGUUGAUACUUGAUACCAUUGCUUGAGAUUGAGAGGUCACCUUUUGAUUUUCAUUGACUGUAUCUAAUUAAGCAUUUUCAGCUAGAACUCAGGACAUUUUCGAAUGAUAGCUUCUUUGGUAUACACGUAUUAGAAGUCAUUUUCCUUAGAAUGAUGGAACUGAAAAGAAACCAUUGAAGAGAAGAUUCUAGAAAACUUGAACGAGAAUAAAUGAUUUCAUUGAUUCCCUCUUUGUGCUACUAUGUAUCGUGUGUGUGUAUAUAUAUAUAUAUAUAUAUAUAUAUAUAUACACAACUCAACUGAGAAAUAAAAAUGUCUAGGCCUAGCUGUAACAAACUAAAACUGAAAAGAGUCGUAUAGCAAAAAAUAUAGACUAGUAUAAUUAAAUACACAUGUGAUCCUGUACAGCUGUUUGUGUACAUGCUCCUGCUUAUCUAGAACCUUCCACGUGCACCAGACUUCAUCAAGUAGAAUUAAUCAAAAUUAGUUGGCCAAGUUUAAAUCUCAUUUGCCUCUAUCAAACAUUUCCCCACGGCUGUGUAUCGGUUCAGAUUCAUCACUGGCAACACCCCCCCUCAAGUUGGAGGGUGGGGCACGAACUCCCAACUUGCAGAGAAUAGAGCGGUGAAGAGGGCCGGCAAGAGCUCCGCAACAAGGCUCCGAAUAGAACGGUAUUCAGCCUCUGCCGAUGACAAAGAUACAACUGUCUGCCUUUUGGAUUUCCAAGAAAUUGGGCAACAACCGAGGCUAAUAAAGAACCCACUAACGGAACGCCCGAGUACCGACACAAGAUGCCCAAUCAGAAUCGCAAUAGGCAACCAGCUGAAAAGAAGGAUCUUUAGACAUAAAAAUGCCUAAACCCGGAUCGGCCUGAACAUAGAGAAGUGUGUGAAGCGCAGCCUGAAAAUGAUCAUGGGUAGGAGAUUGCAUAAAUUGACUCAAAGCUUGCACAGCAAAAGACAAAUCUGGGCGAGAAUGGGUUAGAAAGUUAAGCUUGCCCACCAAACGCCGAUAUGUCGACGCAUCAGAAAGAGGAACACCAGUAGCAGAGGUAAGUUUGAGGGAUGAGUCCAGAGGAGCAGAGACUGGUCUGGAAUGAAGACAGUUAAACUCCGACAAUAACUCAAUAGCAAAUUUUUGCUGGGAGACAAUGAGGCCAUCGGGCUCGCGAAGUAAUUCCAUCCCAAGAAAAUAGUGAGCAAAUCCCAGAUCCUUGAUACGAAAUUCAGAAUCCAAAAACUGCUUAAGGUCAAGUAUCUCAGUGGGAUUGUUCCCUGUGAGGAGAAUAUCGUCUACAUAAACAGCGAUAAGCGUAGAAAAAGAUCCCCGGUGCUUGUAAAACAGAGAGUGAUCAUUUAGCGACACAAUAAAACCCCGAGACACAAGGGCAGUAGAGAGGCAAGCGUACUAUUGGCGUGAAGCCUGCUUAAGGCCAUAUAAGGACUUGCGGAGUCACAAACAUGACGAGGAGAAGGAACAGACAGUCCAGGAGGUGGCCUCAUGAACACAUCUUCAUCGAAAUCACCGUGAAGAAAAGCGUUAUUGACAUCCAACUGAAAUAGAGGCCAAUCGCGCUUAAUAGUGACACUGAGAAUGCACCGGAUAGCAGCCAUCUUAACUACAGGUGAGAACGUCUUUGUGUAGUCAAUACCCUCUCUCUGAAUGUCACCCUGAAUUACCAAUCGAGUUUUUAGACGCUCAACAGAACCAUCAGACUUAGUCUUAACCUUGUAAAUCCAUUUGUAGGGCAAAGGCUUCUUUCCAGGAGGGAGCUCAACCAAAUCCCAAGUUCUAUUAGUCUCUAGAGCUUCGAACUCUUUGGCCAGUGCAUCCUGCCAACCUGGAUGGAGAGCUGCCUGAUGGUACGUGGAAGGUUCUUGGAUAUGGGUAAGGGUGCUGAGGAUAUUCUGAUUUGGGGUGGAUAAAGCAGUAAAAGAAAAGGAAUUUAAACAAGAAACAACAGGGGAUGGAGAUGGAGAAGCUGUGUUGCACAUAUAUUCACUUAAGUACUUAGGUGUAUGCCUUACUCUGAUGGACCUUCGUAGUGUUGGACUCGCGGCAACAUGAGCAGGAGAAGUAGCAGGUGAAGAAGGUAUAGAAAUAGACGAGGAUGAGGUGAGAGGUGAUGCAGUAGAUGUAGGAGAGGUGGGAGAUGUAGGAGGGGAUGAUACAAUAUAUUCAGAAGAAAUAGGAGUAGGUGAAACAAAAAUAGAAGAGGAAUUCAAAGGAGACGAGGUAGGAACUGGAUGCGGGAAAGGAGAAACAUUAGGACGAGUGUAAACAGAAGAAAUAACUGAUGAAAUAGGAAGAGGAGAAUGAAAAGGGAAUAUGUGUUCAUGAAACUUAAUAUUUCUGGAAACAAAGAAUUGCUUCGAUUGUAAGCUCAUGACUUUGUAGCCUUUCUUUCCAAAGGGAUAACCAAGGAAUACACAAGGUGUGGCUCUAGGAUCUAAUUUAUUUCUCCCAUGAGAGAGUGUAGAAGCAAAACACAAGCAACCAAACGAUUUUAGGAAGGAGUAAUCUGGUGGUUUAUCAAAUAAUAUUUGGUAAGGAGAAACAUUACCCAAAAUUCUUGAAGGAAAUCGGUUGAUAAGGAAUGUAGUUGUUAACAGACAGUCGCCCCAAAAUUUGGUAGGUAAAUUGGACUGAAAUAAUAAUGCCCGGCAUAUUUCAAGUAGGUGUUUAUGCUUGCGUUCAACCACACCAUUUUGUUGUGGUGUCGCCGCACAAGAGGUUUGAUGAAGAACACCAAGAGAGGAGAAAAACUAAUAAUGUGUAGUCCCUGACCCAAGCUCACAUGCAUUAUCAGAUCGGACUUUCUUGAUUUUGACAUUGAAUUGUCGCUCUACCAUGGCAAAGAAUGCUUUGAGGACAAGAAAAGUAUUUGACUUAGUGGAUAACAAAAAUGUCCAGGUACAUCUUGUAAAAUCAUCAACAAUUGUCAAGAAGUAACGAUGACCAUUAUAAGUGGGCGUAGAAUAUGGACCCCAAGUGUCUAUGUGAAUGAGGUCAAAUUUUUGUUUAGAAAUUAUAGAGCUAGAUGGAAAAAGGAGUUUUGUUUGUCUGGCUUUUGGGAAAAUUACACAGACUUCAUUUUGUUCAGAAUUCAAUUUGUGAGGUAUUCCAGUAAUGUUACCCAUAGCAGGGUAUGGUAAAUGACCCAAACGUUGAUGCCACAAUUUACUCAAAGUACUACAAUUCAUAGAACAAACAAUUUUAUUCAUGGAAUUAGCUUCAGUCACCACGUCGCUAGAAAGCCGCUAAUCAAAAGGACUUACAUUGAAAACAUCUGAAAGUAGAGAUUGUAAGGAACUACAUGGGAGACUAGGUUCAGCAGAAAUAGUGGAAGUGACACUGACAUUAGAAAGACUGGAACUAGAACUGGGAGCUGCAUUGUCCAACACAUAGAGUCCAUCAGUGGUCUCACCAAACACCUGUAGCUUCUUCAGAGAAGGGGCAUGUAUGUAACAACCAAAUUUGCUAAAAAUCAGUAAACAGUCAAGUUGAGUGCACAAUUGUUGUACAGAGAUCAAGCUGUGUUUAAAACUUGGUACAUAUAGAACAUUUAUUAAAAUCAGAUUAGGAGGAAUAAGCAAUUUUCCAAUGCCAAUAGCUUUAACUUUGUAUCCAUUUGGUAGAUUAACAUAUACAGGUCUGGACAAUUCUUUGGUGUCAUGAAGAAGUGAAAUAUCAUAAGUCAUAUGUUGUGUGGCCCCUGUAUCAAGUAUCCAGGGAUUAUUAUGGAGUUUAUUGAGGUGAGAAGAAAAGGCAUACAAGGCAGCUAUCAUACCAGCCAUGUUAGCAGUCACAUUAGCCUCAAAAUCCGAAGAAACUCCUUGACCUGCAUGAAGAUUUUGAAGUAAAUGAAUUAGUUUAUCACGCUACUCCUUUGAGAAGCCUUGCACCAUACUCAUGGGAUUCACAUUCAGGUUAGUCUCAGAAGAACCUCCUUCUUCAAUUCCAAAUGAUGCAUUUGCGCUCCCUAAUGCAUUUCCAUAAGUCCUCUUCUGCUUAGUGAACUUGAAAGAGGGAGGAAAUCCGUGCAACUUAAAACACGUUUCAAUCAAAUGUGCCGAUUUCUUACAAUAAUUGCAAAAUAUUCCACCUUUACGAUUCUCAAAAUUGCCUUUCUGGACAUUACCUCUGUUUUUCCACUUUGCAUUUUGAAACUUCGUACCUGCUGCAUUGAAUGAAGAGGUUUGUCCUGAAAAAUGUAUAGAAGCAUGAACUUCACGUUGCUUUUCUUCAUGCAACAGAAUAGAGUAAGCCUCAUUUGGAGUAGGCAAAGGCUUCAUCAUAAGAAUGUUUCCUCUAAUAAAUGUAUAAGCCUCAUUUAAUCCUAUCAACAACUGAAUUAGCUUCUGAUUUUCCGUCGCCUUCAAAUUCUUUGUCUUAGCUCCACAUUUACACUCACAUCCACAAAUUUCGAAAAUGUGAAGAAACUUCAAUUCGUCCCAAAUUCGUUUAAUUCUAGUAAAAUAAAUGGCUAUAUCAUCAGUUCCUUGCGUAAUACUACUAAGUUCCUUUUGCAUUUGAAAAAAUUGAGUUCCGUUUGACUGUCCAUACCUUGUCUCUAGUUCUUCCCAAAGUUCCUUUGCUGUAGAGGAGUACAAAACACUGUCACCUAUAUCUUUGCUUAAGGAGUUAAGAAGCCAUUAGAUUACAAUAUCGUUGCACCGAUUCCAGUUCUCAAACUGAGCUGAUUUCUCAUCUGGUGUUUUGAUACUACCGUUUAUGAAACCUAAUUUGUUCCUCACAGAUAAAGCUAUCAGCACACUUCUCCUCCAAGCUCCAUAGCGGGAACCAUCAAAAACUUGAGAUACAAUAGUCAAACCAGGGUGAUCGGUCGAACUCAG
rnacentral:lncRNA from 1 species